rnacentral:rRNA from 1 species
UACAUGGGGUGCAAACGUUGCUCGGAAUUAUUGGGCGUAAAGCGCACGUAGGCGGCCAACUAAGUCGGAUGUGAAAUCCCCGGGCUCAACCUGGGAACUGCAUUUGUGACUGCAUCGCUGGAGUACGGCAGAGGGGGAUGGAAUUCCGCGUGUAGCAGUGAAAUGCGUAGAUAUGCGGAGGAACACCGAUGGCGAAGGCAAUCCCCUGGGCCUGUACUGACGCUCAUGCACGAAAGCGUGGGGAGCAAACAGG